GACGAACGCUGGCGGCGUGCCUAACACAUGCAAGUCGAGCGGAGUCGAUCGACGGAAGCCUUCGGGCGGAAGAUGGUUGACUUAGCGGCGGAUGGGUGAGUAACGCGUGGGCAACCUGCCUCGAAGACCGGGAUAACAGCCCGAAAGGGCUGCUAAUACCGGAUGUGGUCAAAGAUCCGCAUGGAUUUUUGAUUAAAGGGGAAACCCGUUUCGAGAUGGGCCCGCGUCCUAUCAGCUAGUUGGUGAGGUAAAAGCUCACCAAGGCGACGACGGGUAGCCGGCCUGAGAGGGUGACCGGCCACACUGGAACUGAGACACGGUCCAGACUCCUACGGGGGGCAGCAGUGGGGAAUCUUCCACAAUGGGCGAAAGCCUGAUGGAGCGACGCCGCGUGAGCGAAGAAGGCCUUCGGGUUGUAAAGCUCUGUCUGGAGGGACGAAGGAAGUGACGGUACCUCCGGAGGAAGCCACGGCUAACUACGUG
rnacentral:rRNA from 1 species